rnacentral:rRNA from 1 species
GACGAACGCUGGCGGCGUGCCUAACACAUGCAAGUCGAACGGAAAGGCCCUGCUCUUUUUGCGUGCUCGAGUGGCGAACGGGUGAGUAACACGUGAGUAACCUGCCCUUGACUUAGGGAUAACUUCAGGAAACUGGGGCUAAUACCGGAUAGGAGCUCCUGCUGCCUGGUGGGGGUUGGAAAGUUUCGGCGGUUGGGGAUGGACUCGCGGCUUAUCAGCUUGUUGGUGGGGUAGUGGCUUACCAAGGCUUUGACGGGUAGCCGGCCUGAGAGGGUGACCGGCGACAUUGGGACUGAGAGACGGCCCAGACUCCUACGGGAGGCAGCAGUGGGGAAUAUUGCACAAUGAGCGGAAGCCUGAGGCAGCAGCGCCGCGUGCGGGAUGACGGCCUGCGGGUGGUAAACCGCUUUCGCCUGUGACGAAGCGUGAGUGACGGUAAUGGGUAAAGAAGCACCGGCUAACUACGUG